UACGUAGGGUGCAAGCGUUAUCCGGAAUUAUUGGGCGUAAAGAGCUCGUAGGCGGUUUGUCGCGUCUGCUGUGAAAACCCGAGGCUCAACCUCGGGCCUGCAGUGGGUACGGGCGAGACUAGAGUGCGGUAGGGGAGAUUGGAAUUCCUGGUGUAGCGGUGGAAUGCGCAGAUAUCAGGAGGAACACCGAUGGCGAAGGCAGAUCUCUGGGCCGUAACUGACGCUGAGGAGCGAAAGCUGGGAGCGAACAGG
rnacentral:rRNA from 1 species